CGAAUCUCAAGCUAACAGUAACCAAAACAUAAUGCAAAAGUAACCAAACAGUUAUAUGAUAGUAUCUAUUUUUUAUUGCUUGACGUAGCUACAACGUAAGCAUUACAUCAAGCUCCCAGAAAUUAGUCUAGUAUACUAAACAACAUGUAGUCCAAACUCAAUUUAGUCAAUCAAUGUAUACUAAGCAAAUACAUUGUAACCAAAACAACAUAUAAAAGUAACCAAAA
rnacentral:lncRNA from 1 species